UACGUAGGGUGCGAGCGUUGUCCGGAAUUAUUGGGCGUAAAGAGCUCGUAGGCGGUUUGUUGCGUCUAUCGUGAAAACCUGCGGCUUAACUGUGGGCUUGCGGUGGAUACGGGCAGACUUGAGUUCGGUAGGGGAGACUGGAAUUCCUGGUGUAGCGGUGAAAUGCGCAGAUAUCAGGAGGAACACCGGUGGCGAAGGCAGCUCUCUGGGUCGGCCCUGACGCUGAGGCGCGAAAGCGUGGGGAGCGAACGGG
rnacentral:rRNA from 1 species